rnacentral:tRNA from 1 species
GGGCCAUAGCUCAGCUGGGAGAGCGCUACGCUGGCAGCGUAGAGGUCAGGGGUUCGAGCCCCUUGGCUCCA